rnacentral:rRNA from 1 species
UACGUAGGGUCCGAGCGUUGUCCGGAAUUACUGGGCGUAAAGAGCUCGUAGGUGGUUUGUCGCGUUGUUCGUGAAAACUCACAGCUCAACUGUGGGCGUGCGGGCGAUACGGGCAGACUAGAGUACUGCAGGGGAGACUGGAAUUCCUGGUGUAGCGGUGGAAUGCGCAGAUAUCAGGAGGAACACCAAUAGCGAAGGCAGCUCGCUGGGACGAUACUGACGCUAAGGCGCGAAAGCGUGGGGAGCGAACAGG